rnacentral:rRNA from 1 species
ACAGGUGGUGCAUGGUUGUCGUCAGCUCGUGUCGUGAGAUGUUGGGUUAAGUCCCGCAACGAGCGCAACCCCUAUUGUUAGUUGCCAUCAUUCAGUUGGGCACUCUAGCGAGACUGCCGGUAAUAAACCGGAGGAAGUGGGAUGACGUCAAAUCAUCAUGCCCUUAUGACCUGGGCUACACACGUGCUACAAUGGUUGGUACAACGAGUUGCGAGUCGGUGACGGCGAGCUAAUCUCUUAAAGCCAAUUUCAGCUCGGAUUGUAGGCUGCAACUCGCCUACAUGAAGUCGGAAUCGCUAGUAAUCGCGGAUCAGCACGCCGCGGUGAAUACGUUCCCGGGCCUU